UAUAGAUAUAAGCUUGUUAUUGUGACUGCUUUCCCAUUAACUGGGACUUCAAAUAGUUUCAGGCUUCUGCUAUACGGAGCCUUGAUGACUGCCACCUGCAUUGAAGUCAUAAACUGGUAUUGCCUAUGCAGCCCAUUUAUGAUGGCAGACUGAUAACGCCAUAUUCCUGCAUUAUUGCAAAUGAGGAAUUUACCUCCCAAGGUAAUUUCUAUCGGUUCAAAUUAAAGUAUGGAACUGUAGAUAUCAAUGGUGAUUGCAUCUGUUCAUUCAAGUGUUCUAUCAACUAAUGCAAGUGUCUAGUUUUAAUGGUCUCCUUGGGAGUUUAUUCAUUGACUAUGAAGAAUCGAAGCUGAUCUUGGUUUGCCUUUCUCGAGAUUAAUUUUUGCAUGUGCACAAUUCUUCAACAUUCUGGGAUCUAUAACCUGCCUGCUGGAUGGUAAAUAAUUUAAUGAAGUGCUUGUAUAUUCUUCCAUGACUUUGAAAUUGAUCUUGAAGCAUGAUACUGCUUGUUUGUUUGACAUGACUGGAGAUGAAC